rnacentral:rRNA from 1 species
CAAGUUCCCGGAGGAGAUCACCCAGCUCGUAAUGCUAGAGCACUUUUUCAAUGGGCUCCCCAACGACAAGGCGACACCGCAUUCGUAUGUCAUCCAUAUCAACUUUCAAUGCCAUUUACUGCUCCUACCAUGGUGUCCACGGUUAACGGGGAAUCAGGGUUUGAUUCUGGAGAGGGAGCCUGAGAAAUGGCUACCACAUGCAAGGAAGGCAG